GGGCCGCAGCCGUGCAGGGGGCGUGGGCUCGCCGGCUGAGUGGCCUGCGCCUUUAAGGGGCGGGGUGGGGCCCAGUGUGGCGGAAGCGGAUUGGCUGGGAGGCGUCCCGGAAGUGGUUCUCGGAGAAGCCCACGUGGAUGAGUCGAACCCACAUGGCGGUGCUCUUGAGGACGCUGCUGCAGCCAGGGAGGCCCCCGGGAGUCUUGGGGCGCUCCCUGGGACGGCGUGAGGCCAGCCUGGGCACUGGUUCUGGGGCUGCGGUGCGAGUGCGGUUCGCCCCCAGCCCUACAGGCUUCUUGCACCUGGGUGGCCUCCGCACUGCCUUGUACAACUACCUCUUUGCCAAGAAGCACGGAGGGAGCUUCAUUCUGCGGCUGGAGGACACGGACCAGACCCGCCUGGUGCCCGGGGCAGCGGACAACAUUGAGCACAUGCUGGAGUGGGCAGGCAUCCCCCCUGAUGAGAGCCCACACCGGGGAGGCCCCAGGGGGCCCUACCUGCAGUCCCAGCGGCUCGAGCUGUACGCCCAGGCCACAGAAGCUCUGCUGAAGACCGGGGCUGCUUACCCCUGCUUCUGCUCUUCACAGCGGCUGGAGCUGCUGAAGAAGGAGGCCCUGAGGAGCCGCCAGAUACCCCGGUAUGACAAUCGGUGCCGGAACCUGAGCCAGAGGCAGGUAGCUGAGAAGUUGGCCAAGGACCCCAAGCCUGCUAUCCGCUUUCGCCUGGAGGAGGAGGCACCAGCCUUCCAGGACUUGGUAUACGGCUGGAAUCGGCAUGAAGUGGCCAGCGUGGAGGGGGACCCGGUCAUCCUGAAGAGCGAUGGCUUCCCCACCUACCACCUGGCCUGCGUGGUGGAUGACCACCACAUGGGCAUCAGCCACGUGCUGCGUGGCUCGGAGUGGCUGGUCUCCACUGCCAAGCACCUGCUGCUCUACCAGGCCCUGGGCUGGCCGCCGCCUCGCUUUGCCCACCUGCCCCUGCUCCUCAACAGGGACGGCAGUAAGCUGUCCAAGAGGCAAGGGGACAUUUUCCUGGAGAGUUUUGCUGCUGCCGGCUUCCUACCAGAUGCCUUGCUCGACAUCAUCACUAACUGUGGCUCAGGGUUUCCAGAGAACCAGAUGGGCAGGACCUUGCCAGAGCUGGUAGCACAGUUUGACCUGACCCGGAUCACCUGCCACUCGGCCCUGCUAGACCUGGAGAAGCUCCCAGAAUUCAACAGGCUGCACCUUCGUCGGCUGGUGAGCAAUGAGACCCAGAGGCGCCAGCUGGUGGAAAAGCUGCAGCUGCUCGUGGAGGAGGCAUUUGGGAGCCAGCUGCCAGACAGGGCUGUCCUGGACCCAGCCUAUGUGGAGAGGAUCAUCUUGCUGAGACAGGGUCACAUUUGCCGCUUGCAGGAUUUGGUCUCCCCAGCACACUCCUUCCUGUGGACUCGUCCUGCUGUGGGCCGCACGCAGCUGGGUGCCAUCUCAGAGCAGGUGGAUGUGAUUGCCAAGCGCGUGCUGAGGCUUUUAGAAGGACCUGGCGCCAGCUUAACUCAGGACGUGCUGAACGCAGAACUGAAGAAGCUGUCCGAAGGUCUGCCCGGCACCAAGCACAGUAACGUGAUGAAACUCCUCCGAGUGGCCCUCAGUGGACAGCCGCACCUGUUGAGUGCCUACUGUGCCAGUGCCGCUAUGUAAAGAGGAUACAGUAGUGAAUCAAACACGCACACUCCCUCCCGUCAUCCUUCAUAGAGCUGGCAGUUGAUUGGAGGUAACAGACAUGUCAAUACAGGAAGAAGAGGCUCCGGGGAUGCAGCCUCGGCCUCAGAAAUCAAAGACACAAGGACCGCCUGUAGCUGAGAUGAUGGUGUCCUUGGGACCAAAAGAAGUGCGGGAACGCAUACAGAAGGUGCUGUCCAGCUGACGGGAGAUGUGCCUGGCAGUGCAGGUGGCUAGGAACCUGUGCGUGUGGAGACGGCCUUCAGAGGAGGAGUGGGUCCUGGGACCCAUCGGGAACUUGUAGCAGGAACCAGAGUCUGGGUGCACACAGUGUACACAUGGCUCCACACAGCCCCGUCCUCGCCCGCUGGCGGGGAAGCCCAGCAUCUUCUCAGCUCCCUGAGUCUGGAAAGGAAGGCUCAUGUCUGGCUCCGAUACCACACUGCAUGGCAGAGGUUUCAAGCUGGUUCCUAGAACAGUCCAGAGGGCUCGUGUUGAGGCCGCCCGAGCUGCGUGACAAAAAGCCACAGAGUUGGGGCUUAAACAAGGACAGUCACUAUCUCCCUGUUCAGGAGGCUGGAAGUCUAAAAGGCAGGUGUUGGCAGGUUUCUUUGCUCCUUGGCUUGCUGAUGCCUGCUUUCUGCUGUCCGUACUGGUCAUCGCCCUGGGUGUGCCCGUGGUGUCUCUGGGUGUCCAAAUGUCAUCUUCUUAGGACACCAGUCAGACGGGAUUAGCACCCACCCUGAUGGCCCGGUUUUACCUUAAUCACUUCUUUAAAGGCUGCACAUACAGUUACAUGCUGAGGUCUCGGUGUUAGGGCUUCAGCGUACGACUUUUGAGGGGAACACAGUUCAGUGCAUGACAGCUUGGCAGCAGCCUGGACUCACUUCUCUGCCCAGCUUGGACUCUGAGUGGCAGGGCUGAGCUGAAAGUCACUUUCUCUGGGGCUCAUCAGGGGACAAGACUCAUCUGUCAGGGUGGGCUGAGGGAGCACUUAUGUCUUACACUUGUUUUUGUCCUGCACUUGGGGCAGCCUGCCUCCCUUCCCUACAGGCUGUCUGCUGCUCUCCCAGUUCUUCAGACCUGGACCUUGAACUGAGGCCUUCACCCUGCCUAUCCGCAUCUCAUUCACAUCUGCCUCCUUAUAUCCAUGACUGUCUGAAGUGAGAUGUUCUUGGGGUGAAGAGAAAUAGUUAAAUAGAAGGAAGACAGUGGCUGGGAACAGAGACCCACAGGGCUUCUAGGUGUCUGGUGGCAGCCAGCCUCUGAGAGGCCCCAGUCAUUGCUCCCUCUUGGUGUUCACCCCGAAUAGGGCUGAGUUGAGAUGCAUCAUGGCUUCCUUGUUCUCUUGGAUCCCUUACUCUGCGGGAAACCACUUCCACGGGAAGGCUCCCAGCAGCCCUGUGGCGAGGCUCAUGUGGCAGGAACCGAGGCCGCCCGCCCGCAGCCAGGUGCGUGCCCAUCUCGGAGGUCGGUCUUCCAGCCCCAGCCACGCCUUCGGGUGACCACGUUCUGACUGACGUCUCGACUGCAACCUUCACGAAAGAGCCUUAGCCACGACCACGAAGCACGGCUGCUCUCAGAUUCCAGACACAGAAAUAACGAGAUAAUCGGCGUUCAUUGUCUACAGCCACUGGGUUUUGCCCUGCCGGGUGGCCCGGUUGAUCGGAGCACCAUCCUGAUGCACCGAGGCUGCAGGUUCAGUCUCUGGUCAGGACACAUGCAGGGAGCAACAGUGGGUGCGUGGGUGGAGUAACACAUUGAUGUUUCUCUCCCUCUCCUUCUCCCUCUGAAAUAAGUCAAUAAUAAAGCUACUAGGUUUUGGGAUAA